AUGCGGCCGCCGCGCGCGCUUCCGCUGCCGCACUUCACUCUCCCGCCGCUUGCCGGCGAGGACCUCGCCUUCGUCACCGCCCUCCGCUCCCACCUCUCCUCCUCCCCGGAGCUCGCGCCCUCCUCCCUGUCCCGCUUCCUACCCCAACUCAACCCCCUCCGCCUCUCACACCUCCUCCUCUCCCCGCCCCGGGUGGCUCACGACCUCCUCGGCUCCCUCCUCUCCUCGCCGCCGCCCCCGCUCCCAUUCGCCCUCCUCCUCCACGCCAUCACCCCGCGCCGCUCCUCCGAGCUCCUCGCCUCACUGCUCCCCUCCGUCUCGCACCACGCCUUCCCGGAGCUCCUCCACCACCUCAUCUUAACCGCUCGCCUCGCCGCCGGGAGCCGCGGCACCGGCGCCGCAGUGCCCGCCGUCGACGUUCUCUUCUCUGCUUGCGCGCGCCGAAACAAGCUCUCUCAGGCCACGCUCACCUUCCGCGCCAUGCGUGCGCAUGGCCUGCUCCCGCGGGUCGAGUCCUGCAACGUCUUCAUCUCCGCGGCGCUCCGCCUGAAGCGCCCCGAGAUCGCCGUGUCCUUCUUCCGGGAGAUGCGCCGGUGCUGUAUCUCGCCCAACAUGUACACGGCCAACAUGGUGUUGCGGGCCUUCUGUGCCUUGGGGCGGGUCGCCGACGCGGCCACGGUGCUCGAUGAAAUGGCGGAUUGGGGGGUUGAUAGGACGGUGGUCAGCUUCAACACGCUGAUCGCUGCUUAUUGCAGGGAGCAUGGUGGUCUGGAACAUGCGCUGGAGCUGAAGAAGAAGAUGGAGCUGGAGGGGCUAGCGCCCAGUGAGGUGACCUAUAACACGAUCCUCCAUGUGCUGUGCAAGGAGGGGAGGAUGCAGCAAGCGAAUCGUUUGUUGAGCGAAAUGAAGGUGAAGAGGGUUGUGCCGAACACAGUGACAUACAAUACUUUGAUUUAUGGGUAUGUCAUGCAUGGUGAUAAUGGAACAGCGCGGAGGGUUCAUGAAGGGAUGGUUAAGAAUGGAGUCGAGCUUGAUAUCAUAACUUACAAUGCGCUCAUUCUUGGUCUUUGCCGGGAUGGGAAGAUAAAAAAAGCCGUGCAUUUGUUUCAGCAGCUUGACAGGUCCAAGCUUGAACCGAAUGCUUCAACUUUCUCAGCGUUGAUUCUUGGAUACUGUAUGACGCAGAAUUCAGAGCGAGCACUGCAACUGUUGAAGGUGAUGAAAAAAUCCGGCUUCCAUCCGAAUUACGACACAUAUAAGAUUGUUAUAUCUGCUUUCUGCAAGAAUAAGGAUUUUGAAGGAGCAGUGGAUGUGAUGAAGGAGCUUCUCGAGAUGUGCAUGGCUCCUGACAAGGUCUUAUUGCAUGAAUUCUUUGAAGCUCUCUCAAAGGCUAAAAAGCUCCACCUAGCAGAAGAUCUGUGGUCAGCUGAUAAAGGUGGAAAGUUUAUUCCAUCUAUCUACUAUACUGGUGAUUACAGGAACAACGGCGAAGAGAAAACUGCAUGUUAA
rnacentral:rRNA from 1 species